rnacentral:rRNA from 1 species
AGUGAACGCUGGCGGUAGGCCUAACACAUGCAAGUCGAACGGCAGCACAGGAGAGCUUGCUCUCUGGGUGGCGAGUGGCGGACGGGUGAGGAAUACAUCGGAAUCUACUUUUUCGUGGGGGAUAACGUAGGGAAACUUACGCUAAUACCGCAUACGACCUACGGGUGAAAGCAGGGGACCUUCGGGCCUUGCGCGAUUGAAUGAGUCGAUGUCGGAUUAGCUAGUUGGCGGGGUAAAGGCCCACCAAGGCGACGAUCCGUAGCUGGUCUGAGAGGAUGAGCAGCCACACUGGAACUGAGACACGGUCCAGACUCCUACGGGAGGCAGCAGUGGGGAAUAUUGGACAAUGGGCGCAAGCCUGAUCCAGCCAUACCGCGUGGGUGAGGAAGGCCUUCGGGUUGUAAAGCCCUUUUGUUGGGAAAGAAAUCCAGCUGGCUAAUACCUAGUUGGGAUGACGGUACCCAAAGAAUAAGCACCGGCUAACUUCGUGCCAGCCGCCGCGGUAACAC